rnacentral:misc_RNA from 1 species
GUUUGGAAGCAAUAGAAAAGAUAACUCAUUUACAUAUUUGUAGAGUCCCCUGUGGAGGGUUCUUUACCAAAAAGCAAUGAAAAUGGCUACUGCUACUGCUUCUCUCAAGAGCAGCUUUGCCUCUUCUGUAACAACAAGGUCCCUGUUUAUUCCCAGAGGCAUCUCUGGAGCUCCAUUCAGAGUCUCACCCACCAAGAGAACUUCUUCCUUCACUGUCAAGGCCAUUCAGUCUGAGAAGGUAACAAAUUCUUGCUUCUUGCCAAUUUUAUUUAUUUUUUUUAAUAUAAUUGCCUUCGACAAGACUCCUCGAGAUCUUAUAUUUCUUAAAAUAACUUCGGUAUCAUAAAGACAAAAUUUAUUGGUUUGAUUUCUUUUUUUAUUCUUUUAUUUGGUGUUUUCAUUUUAUUAAAAUUAUUUUAAGGCUUCUAACUUGAUUAAUUAUAAGAUAUCGAGAUCAAAUCCCAAUUUAUUUAAUUGAAAUCAAAUUAAAUGGUAUGUUUUUAUAUAGAUUUAUGAAUACUGAUAUCAAAAUCAUAAACAAUGAUUAAUAUUUUUUUUUAAUGAAAAUAUUGAAUGGCCUCCAUAAUAGUGAAUUCCAAAUUCGAAAAAUAGGGUUAUGAAUUAUGAUUAGAGGAGAGCAGUACUGAUAAAUCGGUUUCACUGUGCAGCCAACUUUUCAAGUGGUUGAACCAAUCAAUGGAGAUCCCUUCAUUGGAAGCUUAGAGACACCAGUAACAUCAAGCCCAUUGAUAGCCUGGUACCUCUCCAACUUACCAGCUUACAGGACAGCAGUAAGCCCACUGCUCCGGGGGAUAGAGGUCGGGCUAGCCCAUGGGCUACUGUUGGUAGGCCCAUUUGUAAAGGCAGGGCCACUUAGGAACACUGAGUAUGCAGGAGCAGCAGGAUCAUUGGCAGCAGGAGGGCUAGUUGUGAUCCUGAGCAUAUGCUUGACAAUGUAUGGAAUAGCUUCAUUCAGUGAAGGAGAGGCAUCAACUGCACCAAGCCUCACCUUGACUGGAAGGAAGAAGGAGCCUGACCAGCUUCAGACUGCUGAUGGAUGGGCUAAGUUCAGUGGAGGGUUCUUCUUUGGUGGAAUUUCUGGUGUCAUUUGGGCUUACUUUCUUCUCUAUGUCCUCAACCUCCCUUACUUUGUUAAGUAGAGGGUUUUCAAUAGUUUUGUUUAUGUGAAUUGUCUCUCUCUCAAUCUCUCUGUCAAUGUAUAUCAUCUGCCUGUCUGGCUUUAGACAUUUGCAAAUGAAAACUGCUUAUCUGU